GAGGAGGUGGUGGUGGUGGUGGUGGUGGGGAGGGGGUGGGUGGUGUGGUGGCUGCGGUCCCCCCAGCUUGGUGCCGAUGCCAGCAAUGCUGUUGAGGGUGGCAAUGGAGACGGCGCCGAUGCAGUGGUUGGUGUAUGUCUUGGAGAGCUUGGCCGCCUUGGAGAGCAUCUGCAUGCGGGUGCCCAGGAGGUUCUUGCCGAUGGCCUUGUUCUCGUACCAGGUGAUGUCACCCUCGCUGCAGUGGUCCCGCGGGCGCUGGAAGAAGGCCUUGCAGAGGGGGUUGCGCUUGGAGAGGUACUUGACGAAGCUGGCGUAGGGGCAGAACUCGGUGCCGGUCUCGUACAUGCGGGGCAGGUUCUCCUCGUCGCUGCUCUCCGCCCGCUUCUUGCUCCAGGAGGACGAGCGCGACUUGUGGUAGGGCCCCAGCGCCUUGAAGUAGACGAACUUGCGUCCGUCCUCGUCCACGGCCAGCCCGAAGGAGUCCUCCUCCAGCUCCCGCUGGUUCUCCCGGCCCCGGGUGCAGAAGUACAUGCAGGUCUCGAACCAGACCUUGUUGAGGAGCCCGAAGGGGCUCUGGGUGCUGAAGACGCUGCAGGUGUAGAGCUUGCGCAGGUCGGCGCGGGUGAUGGCCUGCUUCUGCACCACCGGCCCGGCGCCCUGCUCCUCCAGCUUGCGGAUGACGGCGGCCAGGGUGAGGUUGGCGGCGCGGAGCUCGGGGUCCUUGGUGAGGUCGAGGGUGCGGCAGUAGGGCGGCUCGUUGAGGUAGCGGUUGAGGGAGCUGCGGAUGCUGAUGAGGGAGGACUUGGAGUAGAGCUGCCCGCUCUUGGAGCGCGCCUCGGCGUAGAAGGAGCGCAGGACGCGGCAGAGCGCCCCCUUGUCCAUCGUCUCGAAGUCGGGGCUCUGCGCCUUCUCGCUCAGGUACUCGCGGAAGAUGCGCACGGCGUAGCGGGUGGCCAGCCGCGUGUUCUCGCUCAGCCGCGCCCGCUCCGGCCGCUGCAGCAGCAGGGCCGCCUCCAGCUCCGCGUCCUCCGCCGCCCCCCCCGGGGCCGCCGCCGCCGCCGC
rnacentral:lncRNA from 1 species